rnacentral:guide_RNA from 1 species
AUAACUCAAUGUAGAUCGAUUUGUGAGAUGAUGAUUGUCAAU